ACUCAAAUGAAUAGACGGGGGCUCACACAAGCGGUGGAGCAUGUGGCUUAAUUCGAAGCAACGCGAAGAACCUUACCCGGGUUUGACAUGCAUGGAUUAGCUCUGUGAAAGCAGAGUAACGCGGCUUGCCGUGGAACAUGCACAGGUGCUGCAUGGCUGUCGUCAGCUCGUGUCGUGAGAUGUCGGGUUAAGUCCCCUAACGAGCGAAACCCUUAUCGUUAGUUGCCAGCGCGUAAUGGCGGGCACUUUAGCGAGACUGCCGGUGUUAAACCGGAGGAAGGCGGGGAUGACGUCAAGUCCUCAUGGCCUUUAUGCCCGGGGUUGCACACGUGCUACAAUGGGAUGGUACAAAGCGAUGCGAUGCCGCGAGGCCGAGCAAAUCGCAGAAAACUUCCCUCAGUUCGGAUUGCAGGCUGCAAUUCGCCUGCAUGAAGCUGGAAUCGCUAGUAAUCGCGCAUCAGCUAUGGCGCGGUGAAUAUGUUCCUGAGCCUUGCACACACCGCCCGU
rnacentral:rRNA from 1 species